rnacentral:lncRNA from 1 species
UGCUAAAAGAUAUCUCCUCUAACUCCCUCCAAUCUUCUAUACUGAUCUUUUUUCGACAUUUUUCGAACCAAGACCUUAUAGAUCCUAUUCUAAACCAAUAGAUCUUUCAUCCUUUGCUGCCAAAUGCUGAAGUUUGCCUUAUCAUUGAACUUUCCAAAGUCUGCCUUAAUGCUACUAGAUGCCAUCCCACACAGAUCUCAAGAAACAAACACCAACAAACAAGAAAGUUGUUCAAAACAAAAUCUAUUCAACACCUUACCAAGAUCCAGGUGAAACGUUGAUCUUUCCUCCAUCAAAUCAAACUCCAAAGCUCUGAUACCAGAUGUUAGGAACUUCUUAUCUCAGGUGGUGAUCUUGGAACCAGCAAUAAGGGGUCGUGGAGGUCUUUGAUGGCCAGCAAAUCUCUAACUCAAAAUCAACCUUCAGGAUUUCAGUAACUUGUAAAAGAUUGUUGACAGAAUUUCUUCUAUCUUCCAAAUCCUUUCUCUUCCAAAUCUAAAACUCUCCUUUUUAGAUCUAGAAGCUCUCUUGAUGAAGCCUCUAACUAGUAGAGGGAAGGGGUGUGGAGAUCCCUCUUGGAUGCUGUGGAAGCAUUGAAACACAAGGGAGUUGCUGUAGAAAAUUCUAGGCAGCAACCUUCUUAUAGAUCUCUUUGAUCUUCUUCCCAAUCCCUUUAGGAUUGCUAAGGGAUGCCUAUCUCAACUUCUAGAGAAACAUGG